rnacentral:rRNA from 1 species
AAUCAACGCUGGCGGCGUGCCUCAGACAUGCAAGUCGAACGAUUAAAGCUCUCUUCGGAGAGUGUAUAGAGUGGCGCACGGGUGAGUAACACGUAAGUAAUCUACCUUCGAGUGGGGAAUAACACCGAGAAAUCGGUGCUAAUACCGCAUAAUGCAGCGGCAUCGCAAGAUGACAGUUGUUAAAGAUUUAUCGCUUGAAGAGGAGCUUGCGGCAGAUUAGCUAGUUGGUAAGGUAAUGGCUUACCAAGGCUACGAUCUGUAACCGGUCUAAGAGGACGGUCGGUCACACUGACACUGAAUAACGGGUCAGACUCCUACGGGAGGCAGCAGUCGGGAAUUUUGGGCAAUGGGCGAAAGCCUGACCCAGCAACGCCGCGUGAAGGAUGAAGUAUUUCGGUAUGUAAACUUCGAAAGAAUGGGAAGAAUAAAUGACGGUACCAUUUAUAAGGUCCGGCUAACUACGUGCCAGCCGCCGCCGUAAU